AGAAUCAACGCUGGCGGCGUGCCUAACACAUGCAAGUCGAACGAGAAAGUGGUAGCAAUACCAUGAGUAAAGUGGCGCACGGGUGAGUAACACGUGACUAACCUACCCUUGAGUGGGGGAUAACUGAGGGAAACCUUAGCUAAUACCGCAUAAUACCCACAGGUCAAAGGAGCAAUUCGCUCGAGGAGGGGGUCGCGGCCGAUUAGUUAGUUGGCAGGGUAAUGGCCUACCAAGACGAUGAUCGGUA
rnacentral:rRNA from 1 species